UCCCCAUUUUCACAAUUAUCAUUAUCUUUUCGUUUUCUCUUCCUUCUUGAACGAGCAGAGAAGACUCCGAAGAGUGAAGAGCGGCCAUGUCUUCUUCUCUUACGAGCACCACUAUCUCACUGAUGCCAUCGCCACUAUUUAAGUUUUUCUUCUUUCUAGAUCAAUUUUUCUCUAACCCUCUUGUUUAAUCUCUACACUAGAAAACCUAGAUCCAGUAUUUCUAUUUAUUAUUUAAGGUUUCAAUUUUAGAGAUUCAGUAGGAGAUUACUUCGAUUGAGCAAAUAUUUUCCCAAUUUUACAGUCGUUCUUAGUCAGCUUUUGUAAAUUCUUUUAAUGGAGCAAAUGGAUUAAAUCCUUAAGGGUUUUUGAUAGUCAUUAGAAGGUGGACCAGCUAGAGAACUACCAAAGAAGGAAACAGAAGGUUUUCAAUUAGAGCAAUACGAAACGAAGACAAAGUUCAGAAGGGUUUAAGAAUGUCUAAAUAAGAAGAUUUUUCAAAAAGGUUUAACAAUGAGAGAAUUUUUCUCUUUUUCUUUGACUUUAUCAUCUCCUUAAAUAAAGAUCGAUAUAUCUAAAACUAUUCGGGAAAAAUCUUCUUUCUCUGCAAGUUGAAGAAGAACCCAUUUUAGAUAGUUUUGUGGGUAUUGCCAAUCUCAAACAAGUGAUGGAAAUUGUAGGAAGAUACGAUAAGAUGAAGCAGAAAGAUAGAGAGAAGAAGCAUAAAAUUAAAGAGAGGUUGGAUUGGGAGACGACAGAUGAAAACAAACGUUCUUUUGGUUUUCUGUUAACCAGUCAAUUUGUUUAUCUGACAGGUUGCAAGAAGUAUAUAAUAAACAUUUAGCAUCUCCAUAUUCAGAUGAUUUUAGGCCAUUUUCCGAGCUAACAUGGUGAUGAUAUAUGCCGCAUCCCUGUUAGAAUGGCAAGUUUUUGGGGUAGAGAUGUUGGCAAAGGACUAGCUACACAAUGGUGCAUCAUAUACUGUUAACAAUCA